UACGUAGGGGGCAAGCGUUGUCCGGAUUUAUUGGGCGUAAAGAGCGUGUAGGCGGCCAGGUAGGUCUGCUGUGAAAACUCGAGGCUUAACCUCGAGAUGUCGGCGGAAACCAUCUGGCUAGAGUCCGGAAGAGGAGAAGGGAAUUCCCGGUGUAGCGGUGAAAUGCGCAGAUAUCGGGAAGAACACCCGUGGCGAAGGCGGUUCUCUGGGACGGUACUGACGCUGAGACGCGAAAGCGUGGGGAGCGAACAGG
rnacentral:rRNA from 1 species